rnacentral:misc_RNA from 1 species
GAAUUGGGGUUGAUUUGCAGGAG